UACGUAGGGCGCAAGCGUUAUCCGGAAUUAUUGGGCGUAAAGAGCUCGUAGGCGGUUUGUCGCGUCUGCUGUGAAAGACCGGGGCUCAACUCCGGUUCUGCAGUGGGUACGGGCAGACUAGAGUGCAGUAGGGGAGACUGGAAUUCCUGGUGUAGCGGUGAAAUGUGUAGAGAUCGGGAGGAACACCGGUGGCGAAGGCGGGUCUCUGGGCAAUUCCUGACGCUGAGGCGCGAAAGCGUGGGGAGCAAACGGG
rnacentral:rRNA from 1 species